rnacentral:rRNA from 1 species
UCAGCAGUCCAAAAUAUUAGUCAAUGCUCGUAAGAGUGAACUAGCUAACUGAAAUCAUAGAAUUUUUUAAAAUUCAUGAUGUCGUAAGGGAAAAUAAUGAUAAUACCUUACUAUGAGUGUCGUCCAAAUCUGGUGCCAGAAGACUCGGUAAGACCAGAGACGCAAACGUUAAUCAUCAUAAACAGGCGUAAAGGGUUUGUAGGCAGCUUUUAUAGGAUUAUUCUAAAAAGGUAAUCUAAAUUAAAAGCUAGAAUCAAAAAGAGGUUAUAGUGUAUAACGCCUAGAGGAGGGCUGAUAUCCGUAGAUCCUAGGCAGAAUACUCAGGGCGAAGGCCACUCUCCAUUAAUGAUUGACGCUGAGAAACGAAGGUUAGGGUAGGAAAUAGGAUUAGAUACCCCGGUACUCCUUUCUGUAAACGAUGAAUGGUAGUCAUUAGUAAAAAUAACUAGAGGCGAAGUUAACACAAUAACCAUUCCGCCUUGUGAGUACUACUGCAAAGUAGAAAACAAAAAAAUUAGUCGGUCUCGAAGCAAACGGAGUGAAGCAUGUUAUUUAAUUAAAAUAUCCCCCAA